rnacentral:rRNA from 1 species
UCACCUGUUUAUCAAAAACAUGUCUUUAAAUUUAUUUAUUUAAAGUCUAAUCUGCUCAAUGAUAAAAAUUAAAUAGCUGCAAUAUUUUAAUUGUACAAAGGUAGCAUAAUCAUUUGUCUUUUAAUUAAAGAAUAGAAUGAAAGAUUAAAUAAGAUAUUAACUAUAUAAAUUUAAUUAAAAUUUUAAUUUUAUUUUUAAGUAAAAAAUCUUAAAUAGUAUUAUUAGACGAUAAGACCCUAUAGAACUUUAUAUUAUAUAAAUUUAAAUAAAAAUUUUUAUUAUUUAAAUUAAUAAUUAUAUAAUAUUAUAUUGGGGGUAUAAAAAAAUUAAAAUAAUUUUUUUAUAUAAUUUUACAUUAAUUUAUGAAAUAAUUAAAAGAGUGUUUAAAUAAAAAUUAUUAAAAUAAGUUACCUUAGGGAUAACAGCAUAAUUUUUUUAAAAAGUUCUUAUUGAUAAAAAAGAUUAUGACCUCGAUGUUGAAUUAAGAUAAAUAUUAAAAGAAAAAUUUUAUUUAUUAAGUCUGUUCGACUUUUAAAAUCUUACAUGAUCUGAGUUCAAAUCGAA